UUUCCCCAUCAGUUGCUGUCCUGGCCUGUCAGGGUAAGCAGCUGGCGCACCGGGACACUUUGUUUACUUAGGUUUACCUCUGUGCCUGCGGACGCUUGAGGUAAACAAACCAUCUUGGACCACCAGCGGCUUAUCCUGAUGGCCCGGGAGCCAAAGUUUGCUGACCCCCGAAUUAUAGGGUCGGCUUAUGAACAGGUUAUAAAGUUUCCAUUUUUACUUAUCCAUCCCGGGGGGGGGGGGGUGGCGGCUUAUAAAUGAACCGGCUUAUGAUCAAGCAUAUACGGUAAUUUAAGAUCUACAGUAACAAUUUGCUCACCGAGAUAUUGCAAAGUCGUACUUUUGUGCUGUUAGAUUUAAAGUUAGCAUUUAACUGCCAUACGCUAAAUCAGUUUAAAAUAUUGGUAGUUCAUAGUGUUACAUUUUGUAUUUGGUCUAGAUUAUAGGCAUUAAGCCCUUACACUGGUACAACUAGGAAAAUUGGCUGAAGAAAACCAUGAUUUUCAGGUUUCACUGUUGCUAUUAAUUCAUGAGGAAUAAGUGAUGUAGGUCUGUAUGUAAGAUUUCUGACAGUCUGUCUUUCUUCUACUUUCAGAUUUGAGAUUACAUCUACGGAAGAAGAUUGUAAUUUAACUCACAUUUUUAAAAGAGAAUUGAGUUUUAGAUACCUUUCUUGCUCUGCAUCUUGCUGUCUAUCCAGAGGUGAAGUUUUGAGAGCCCCUAAUGGCACUUGUGAAAAGAUGCGACUCAGAACCAGUUUUUCCUCUAAGAUAUCACCCACCUCUACAAGGGACUGCCUGACCUUUGGAAAAUUUGACUGUACAAAAACAAGAUGAAAAGAACAGUUUGAGGAGCUAUGACACAAGGACAAAAAUAGAGGAACAAAGAUCAUAAAUAUGGGGCCAAUCGGGCCAUAACAAACACAUGCCUCUGGGGAAAAACCAAACCAACUCACCCACCCUUAAGUAUUCCACACCCUGGGGCCAACCAAAGCAAAGUCUUGAUCUGUCAACCUAAAACAUGGCAACUGGAUUCUUCAAAGAUGUGUGAAAUCUCAACAUAGGUACCUGUCAAGUUCCUCCAGGAGGCCUCAAAUAUAUAAAGGAAAGUGCCAAUUUGAUAUAUUAGGUUUAAAAUGUAUGCAGGAUGGGUCUAAUGCGAUCCUGGCUGCUCAUACCAGUGAGCAUAUACAUGGCUGCACUCUGAACACACUGCAAGUGACAAAUUCAUUCGGAAAGAGCAUUUCCCAACAGCAGGACGGACUGCACACUGCAGCUGGAUUCUUGACAGCAAAGAAGCUGAAAUGUCAAGCUGAUGUUUUUCAUUGUUUUUCUCUCCCCCUACCACCUGUUCCCUCUUGGAUGGGUUUACGCAAGACGUUGUACUCAG